rnacentral:rRNA from 1 species
ACAUUUGAGUGAGUGGCGAACUGGUGAGUAACACGUGGGAAACCUGCCCAGAAGCGGGGGAUAACACCUGGAAACAGAUGCUAAUACCGCAUAACAACUUGGACCGCAUGGUCCGAGUUUGAAAGAUGGCUUCGGCUAUCACUUUUGGAUGGUCCCGCGGCGUAUUAGCUAGAUGGUGGGGUAACGGCUCACCAUGGCAAUGAUACGUAGCCGACCUGAGAGGGUAAUCGGCCACAUUGGGACUGAGACACGGCCCAAACUCCUACGGGAGGCAGCAGUAGGGAAUCUUCCACAAUGGACGAAAGUCUGAUGGAGCAACGCCGCGUGAGUGAAGAAGGGUUUCGGCUCGUAAAACUCUGUUGUUAAAGAAGAACAUAUCUGAGAGUAACUGUUCAGGUAUUGACGGUAUUUAACCAGAAAGCCACGGCUAACUACGUGCCAGCAGCCGCGGUAAUACGUAGGUGGCAAGCGUUGUCCGGAUUUAUUGGGCGUAAAGCGAGCGCAGGCGGUUUUUUAAGUCUGAUGUGAAAGCCUUCGGCUCAACCGAAGAAGUGCAUCGGAAACUGGGAAACUUGAGUGCAGAAGAGGACAGUGGAACUCCAUGUGUAGCGGUGAAAUGCGUAGAUAUAUGGAAGAACACCAGUGGCGAAGGCGGCUGUCUGGUCUGUAACUGACGCUGAGGCUCGAAAGUAUGGGUAGCAAACAGGAUUAGAUACCCUGGUAGUCCAUACCGUAAACGAUGAAUGCUAAGUGUUGGAGGGUUUCCGCCCUUCAGUGCUGCAGCUAACGCAUUAAGCAUUCCGCCUGGGGAGUACGGCCGCAAGGCUGAAACUCAAAGGAAUUGACGGGGGCCCGCACAAGCGGUGGAGCAUGUGGUUUAAUUCGAAGCUACGCGAAGAACCUUACCAGGUCUUGACAUACUAUGCAAAUCUAAGAGAUUAGACGUUCCCUUCGGGGACAUGGAUACAGGUGGUGCAUGGUUGUCGUCAGCUCGUGUCGUGAGAUGUUGGGUUAAGUCCCGCAACGAGCGCAACCCUUAUUAUCAGUUGCCAGCAUUAAGUUGGGCACUCUGGUGAGACUGCCGGUGACAAACCGGAGGAAGGUGGGGAUGACGUCAAAUCAUCAUGCCCCUUAUGACCUGGGCUACACACGUGCUACAAUGGAUGGUACAACGAGUUGCGAACUCGCGAGAGUAAGCUAAUCUCUUAAAGCCAUUCUCAGUUCGGAUUGUAGGCUGCAACUCGCCUACAUGAAGUCGGAAUCGCUAGUAAUCGCGGAUCAGCAUGCCGCGGUGAAUACGUUCCCGGGCCUUGUACACACCGCCCGUCACACCA